AGCGAACGCUGGCGGCAGGCCUAACACAUGCAAGUCGAACGAACCUUUCGGGGUUAGUGGCGGACGGGUGAGUAACACGUGGGAACGUGCCUUUAGGUUCGGAAUAACUCAGGGAAACUUGUGCUAAUACCGAAUGUGCCCUUCGGGGGAAAGAUUAAUCGCCUUUAGAGCGGCCCGCGUCUGAUUAGCUAGUUGGUUGAGGUAAUGGCUCACCAAGGCGACGAUCAGUAGCUGGUCUGAGAGGAUGAUCAGCCACAUUGGGACUGAGACACGGCCUAAUCUCCUACGGGAGGCAGCAGUGGGGAAUCUUGCGCAAUGGGCGAAAGCCUGACGCAGCCAUGCCGCGUGAAUGAUGAAGGUCUUAGGAUUGUAAAAUUCUUUCACCGGGGACGAUAAUGACGGUACCCGGAGAAGAAGCCCCGGCUAACUUCGUG
rnacentral:rRNA from 1 species